CCUACGGGUGGCAGCAGUGAGGAAUAUUGGUCAAUGGGCGCGAGCCUGAACCAGCCAAGUCGCGUGAGGGAGGACGGCCCUACGGGUUGUAAACCUCUUUUGCCGGGGAGCAACGGGCGUCACGUGUGGCGCCACUGAGAGUACCCGGAGAAAAAGCAUCGGCUAACUCCGUGCCAGCAGCCGCGGUAAUCCGGGGGAUGCGAGCUUUAUCCGGAUUUAUUGGGUUAAAGGGGUGCGUAGGCGGAUGGUUAAGUAAGUGGUCAAAUUGGGGGGUUCAACCCCUUCCUACCAUUGAAACUGGCGGUCUUGAGUGGAGGAGAGGUAUGCGGAAUGCGUGGUGUAGCGGUGAAAUGCAUAGAUAUCACGCAGAACCCCGAUUGCGAAGGCAGCAUGCCGGCUUCCGACUGACGCUGAAGCACGAAAGCGUGGGGAUCGAACAGGAUUAGAUACCCUGGUAGUC
rnacentral:rRNA from 1 species